GAUGAACGCUGGCGGCGUGCCUAAUACAUGCAAGUCGAGCGAACGGACGAGAAGCUUGCUUCUCUGAUGUUAGCGGCGGACGGGUGAGUAACACGUGGAUAACCUACCUAUAAGACUGGGAUAACUUCGUGAAACCGGAGCUAAUACCGGAUAAUAUUUUGAACCGCAUGGUUCAAUAGUGAAAGACGGUCUUGCUGUCACUUAUAGAUGGAUCCGCGCUGCAUUAGCUAGUUGGUAAGGUAACGGCUUACCAAGGCAACGAUGCAUAGCGGACAUGAGAGGAUGAGAGGCCACACUGGGAAUGAGGCGCGGUCCUGACUCCGAGAGGAGGCGCCAGGAGGGAAUCUUCCGGGAUGAACGAAAGCCUGACGGAGCAGCGCCGCGUGAGUGAUGGAGUUGUUCGGAUCUUAAAACUUUGUUAUGAGAGAAGAACAUAUGUGUACGUAACUGUGCACAUCUUGACGGUACCUAAUCAGAAAGCCACGGCUAACUACGUG
rnacentral:rRNA from 1 species